GCCGCUGUAGCUCAGAUGGUAGAGCGCGUCAUUCGUAAUGAUGAGGUCGAAGGUUCGAGUCCUUUCAGCGGCACCA
rnacentral:tRNA from 1 species